GUGCCAGCAGCCGCGGUAAUACGUAGGGUCCGAGCGUUGUCCGGGAAUUAUUGGGCGUAAAGGGCUCGUAGGCGGUUUGUCGCGUCGGGAGUGAAAACCAGGUGCUUAACACCUGGCUUGCUUCCGAUACGGGCAGACUAGAGGUAUGCAGGGGAGAAUGGAAUUCCUGGUGUAGCGGUGAAAUGCGCAGAUAUCAGGAGGAACACCGGUGGCGAAGGCGGUUCUCUGGGCAUUACCUGACGCUGAGGAGCGAAAGUGUGGGGAGCGAACAGGAUUAGAUACCCUGGUAGUCC
rnacentral:rRNA from 1 species